GUAUUUGGUCCGGAGCUGCUCUGCCCUGGCGCCCAGCCCGGUUGUAGGUGUUUAAGGACAAGUCCCGGGCACUUGUAAUUGGAGAUUUGUAAUACGGGCUGUAGUUGGAGUCUAGGUGGUAUUCUUAUGUUGGCAGCAGGUGUUUGGAGCUGUGAAGUUACCCUGCAGCACUUUGACUUUUUUCCUAACUUUCUUUCAGAUGCAGACGGUUUGACCUCGUGGCAGAGCAGCUAUCCCAGAUGAUGGGGGUCCCCCUGAGAAGGAAGUAAAGCCGGAUAGCAGCAGAGAAGGUGAAGCAUUGCGAAGGUGGUCUACUUGCAAGGUAUCCCAGCCAAGGAUACUGGAGGACAGGAUUCGGCGUUGCCCCGAGCACGGCAAGGAGCAGAGAUGAGCAGGUGAGUUGGCAUUUUGAAGUUAAGUUAGAGGACAGGGCUCUAGUGGGAUAGGCCCCUCUGAAGGCAAAGGAGAGGGUUUCUUUGCAAGCUCCCCAGAGCUUUUGCCGGGCAGGGCAGUUCCAAUCCAUGUUGUCGUUCUCUCGUGUUUCAAGUCAUCAGCCAUCUCAGCCUCUCGAUGUCGUCGUGGAUUUUUUCGUCCGAGGAACCGGCCUUCGCAUCCGCAGCUAUCGCCACGUUCACCCGGCAGACAUCGCCUGUGACUGCCUUGUACCGUGCCUGCCUCUGUAAAACUAACUGCAUUGUGCCUGCC